UGCACGACGAGCACAAUCUCCAUGGG
rnacentral:piRNA from 1 species